rnacentral:rRNA from 1 species
GACGAACGCUGGCGGCGUGCUUAACACAUGCAAGUCGAACGGUGAAGCGCCUUCCUUUUUGGUGGGUGUGGAUGAGUGGCGAACGGGUGAGUAACACGUGAGUAACCUGCCCCCUUCUUCUGGAUAACCGCAUGAAAGUGUGGCUAAUACGGGAUAUUCUGGGUCUGUCGCAUGAUGGGUCUGGGAAAGAUAUUGUUUCGGUGGGGGAUGGGCUCGCGGCCUAUCAGCUUGUUGGUGGGGUGACGGCCUACCAAGGCGGUGACGGGUAGCCGGCCUGAGAGGGUGGACGGUCACACUGGGACUGAGACACGGACCAGACUCCUACGGGAGGCAGCAGUGGGGAAUAUUGCACAAUGGGCGCAAGCCUGAUGCAGCGACGCCGCGGGAGGGAUGGAGGCCUUCGGGUUGUGAACCUCUUUCGCCAGUGAAGCAGGCCUGCCUCGUUUGUGGGUGGGUUGACGGUAGCUGGAUAAGAAGCGCCGGCUAACUACGUG